rnacentral:rRNA from 1 species
AGUUAAGUGAACAAGGGCGCACGGUGGAUGCCUUGGCACUAGGAGCCGAUGAAGGACGGGACUAACACCGAUAUGCUCCGGCAAGCCGUAAGUAGGCUGUGAACCGGAGAUUUCCGAAUGGGGGAACCCACUAUUCGUAAUGGAAUAGUGUCCAUGACUGAAUCCAUAGGUCAUGGACGGCAGACCCGGGGAACUGAAACAUCUCAGUACCUGGAGGAAGAGAAAGCAAAUGCGAUUUCCCGAGUAGCGGCGAGCGAAACGGAAACAGCCCAAACCAGAAAGCUUGCUUUCUGGGGUUGUAGGACACUCCUUUGGAGUUACCAAGAAGAAAGGUAGGCGAAUCGAUCUGGAACGAUCAGCCAGAGCAGGUAACAGCCCUGUAGCCGAAACCUUUCUUCCUCCGGAGUGGAUCCUGAGUACGGCGGAACACGAGAAAUUCCGUCGGAAUCCGGGAGGACCAUCUCCCAAGGCUAAAUACUCCCUAGUGACCGAUAGCGAACCAGUACCGUGAGGGAAAGGUGAAAAGCACCCCGGAAGGGGAGUGAAAGAGAUCCUGAAACCGUGUGCCUACAAGUAGUCGGAGCCCGUUAAUGGGUGACGGCGUGCCUUUUGUAGAAUGAACCGGCGAGUUACGACUGUAUGCAAGGUUAAGCCGUGAGCGGCGGAGCCGCAGCGAAAGCGAGUCUGAACAGGGCGAGUGAGUAUGCGGUCGUAGACCCGAAACCGUGUGAUCUACCCAUGUCCAGGGUGAAGGUCAGGUAACACUGACUGGAGGCCCGAACCCACGCAAGUUGAAAAUUGCGGGGAUGAGGUGUGGGUAGGGGUGAAAUGCCAAUCGAACACGGAGAUAGCUGGUUCUCUCCGAAAUAGCUUUAGGGCUAGCCUCAGAAUAGAAAGUCUUGGAGGUAGAGCACUGAUUGGACGAGGGGCCCCUAUCGGGUUACCGAAUUCAGUCAAACUCCGAAUGCCAGCGACUUUGUUCUGGGAGUCAGACCGUGGGUGAUAAGGUUCAUGGUCGAGAGGGAAACAGCCCAGACCGCCAGCUAAGGUCCCUAAGUGUGUGUUAAGUGGAAAAGGAUGUGGAGUUGCUUAGACAACCAGGAUGUUGGCUUAGAAGCAGCCAUCAUUGAAAGAGUGCGUAAUAGCUCACUGGUCGAGUGACUCUGCGCCGAAAAUAUACCGGGGCUAAACACACCACCGAAGCUGCGGAUUGAUCUUACGAUCAGUGGUAGGAGAGCGUUCUAAGGGCGGUGAAGUCAGACCGUAAGGACUGGUGGAGCGCUUAGAAGUGAGAAUGCCGGUAUGAGUAGCGAAAAAAGAGUGAGAAUCUCUUUCACCGAAAGCCUAAGGGUUCCUGAGGAAGGCUCGUCCUCUCAGGGUUAGUCGGGACCUAAGCCGAGGCCGACAGGCGUAGGCGAUGGACAACAGGUGGAUAUUCCUGUACCACCUCCUUUCCGUUUGAACGACGGGGAGACGCAGGAGGAUAGGGAGAGCGCGCCAUUGGAUGAGCGCGUCCAAGCAGCAAGACGGCCGGAUAGGCAAAUCCGUCCGGUGGGAACGUCAAGCUGUGAUGGGGAGGGAACUAAAGUACCGAAGCUCCUGAGUUCACACUGCCAAGAAAAUCCUCUAGUGAGGAAAGAGGUGCCCGUACCGCAAACCAACACAGGUAGGCGAGGAGAGGAUCCUAAGGUGAGCGGGAGAACUCUCGUUAAGGAACUCGGCAAAAUGACCCCGUAACUUCGGGAGAAGGGGUGCUCCUCUGCCGAGGAGCCGCAGUGAAAAGGCCCAAGCGACUGUUUACCAAAAACACAGGUCUCUGCGAAGCCGUAAGGCGAAGUAUAGGGGCUGACACCUGCCCGGUGCUGGAAGGUUAAGGGGAUGCGUUAGCUUUUGGCGAAGCGCUGAACCGAAGCCCCAGUAAACGGCGGCCGUAACUAUAACGGUCCUAAGGUAGCGAAAUUCCUUGUCGGGUAAGUUCCGACCCGCACGAAAGGUGCAACGACUUGGGCACUGUCUCAACGAGAGACCCGGUGAAAUUAUACUAUGCGUGAAGAUGCGCAUUACCCGCGACAGGACGGAAAGACCCCGUGGAGCUUUACUGUAGCCUGAUAUUGAAUGUUGGUACAGCUUGUACAGGAUAGGUAGGAGCCAGAGAAGCCGGAGCGCCAGCUUCGGUGGAGGCGCUGGUGGGAUACUACCCUGGCUGUACGGACAUUCUAACCCAGGACCGUGAUCCGGUCCGGAGACAGUGUCAGGUGGGCAGUUUGACUGGGGCGGUCGCCUCCUAAAAGGUAACGGAGGCGCCCAAAGGUUCCCUCAGAAUGGUUGGAAAUCAUUCGCAGAGUGUAAAGGCACAAGGGAGCUUGACUGCGAGACCUACAAGUCGAGCAGGGACGAAAGUCGGGCUUAGUGAUCCGGCGGUUCCGCAUGGAAGGGCCGUCGCUCAACGGAUAAAAGCUACCCCGGGGAUAACAGGCUUAUCUCCCCCAAGAGUCCACAUCGACGGGGAGGUUUGGCACCUCGAUGUCGGCUCAUCGCAUCCUGGGGCUGUAGUCGGUCCCAAGGGUUGGGCUGUUCGCCCAUUAAAGCGGUACGCGAGCUGGGUUCAGAACGUCGUGAGACAGUUCGGUCCCUAUCCGUCGUGGGCGUUGGAAAUCUGAAAGGAGCUGUCCUUAGUACGAGAGGACCGGGAUGGACACACCGCUGGUGUACCAGUUGUUCCGCCAGGAGCAUCGCUGGGUAGCUACGUGUGGACGGGAUAAGUGCUGAAAGCAUCUAAGCAUGAAGCCCCCCUUGAGAUGAGAUUUCCCUUACCUCUAAGGUAAUAAGAUCCCUCAGAGACGAUGAGGUAGAUAGGUCCGAGGUGGACGCGUGGUGACACGUGCAGCUGACGGAUACUAAUCGAUCGAUGACUUAUCUAA